GUCCCAGUCCCCGCCACACAGGUCGUGGGUUCUCCUUUGAGAGUGACCACUGGUUCCUAGAGCUUUUCCUAAACUGGAGACGAAUCCUGCCCUGGGGGUCUCAGUCACCGCGAGGACUCGAGGGUAACUGCCAGAGGUCCCAGGUGGCCUGAGGGCUAUUUUUAAAGAUUUUCUGUUUCCUUGAUUUCUCCUCCUUUGGAUGUGUUGGGCUUCCUGACUCUUUGAAGAAUCUAUCCAGUGUCUUUAAGAUAGCAAAACUAAGUGUCAAAAGCACCUUCUGCACACAGUGUGCACACACUGGCCGGUGGUCCUGUUCCCGCGAGGUUGAGCUGUGUCCCACAGACUUGGGUCCUCCGGGUGAUGAGGAGCCGCUGGAGGGCCCUGAGCUGCACGUGCUAAUGAUUAACGCCCCGUCCGUGCUGGCCGGUUUCUCAAAUGCCUCCUGACGAUUGCGCACAGCCGGACAUCAUUUCUACUGAGAGACAAAAGGAAAUCACUGAGGCUUUCUGAGGUGAGCUGGGCGGCCGC
rnacentral:lncRNA from 1 species